rnacentral:rRNA from 1 species
AGUGAACGCUGGCGGUAGGCCUAACACAUGCAAGUCGAACGGCAGCACAGUAAGCGCUUGCUCUUACGGGUGGCGAGGGGCGGACGGGUAAGGAGUACAUCGGAUUCUUCUUUUUCGUGGGGGAUAACGUAGGGAAACUUACGAUAAUAGCGCAUAUGACCUACGGGUUAAAGCAGUGGAUCUUGACACCUUUCGCGAUUGAAUGAGACGGUGUCGGGUUGGCUAGGUGGCGGGGUAAAGGCCCACCAAAGCGAAGCUCCGUAGCUGGACUGACAGGAGGAUCAGCCCAACUGGAAAUGGGAACCCGUCCAGACUCCUACGGGAGGGAGCAGUGGGGAAUAUUGGACAAUGGGCGGAAGCCUGAUCCAGCCAUCCCGGGGGGGGGAAGAAGGCCUUCGGGUUGGAAAACCCUUUUGUUGGGGAAGAAAAGAAGCAGUAUGAAACCACGCUGUUCUGAAGGUACCCAAAGAAUAAGCACCGGCUAACUUCGUG